GUCGCAGCUCGGGUACCCCUCGGGCGCCCCCGCCGCCGUCCGCGCGCGGCCAUGGAGCUGGAGGUGCCGGACGAGGCGGAGAGCGCUGAGGCGGGGGCCGUGCCCUCGGAGGCGGCGUGGGCGGCAGAGAGCGGGGCGGCGGCAGGUUUGGCUCAGAAGAAGGCGGCCCCAACAGAGGUUCUGUCCAUGACGGCACAGCCGGGCCCUGGCCAUGGGAAGAAGUUGGGCCAUCGAGGUGUGGACGCAUCCGGCGAAACCACCUACAAGAAGACCACCUCCUCCACCCUGAAGGGUGCCAUCCAGCUGGGCAUCGGCUACACCGUGGGCCACCUGAGCUCCAAGCCCGAACGCGACGUGCUCAUGCAGGACUUCUACGUGGUGGAGAGCAUCUUCUUCCCCAGCGAAGGCAGCAACCUCACCCCCGCCCACCACUUCCAGGACUUCCGCUUCAAGACCUAUGCACCUGUCGCCUUCCGCUACUUCCGGGAACUCUUUGGGAUCCGGCCAGAUGAUUACUUGUACUCCCUGUGCAAUGAGCCGCUGAUCGAGCUGUCCAACCCAGGCGCCAGUGGCUCCCUCUUCUACGUCACCAGCGACGACGAGUUCAUCAUCAAGACCGUCAUGCACAAGGAGGCCGAGUUCCUGCAGAAGCUGCUCCCUGGCUACUACAUGAACCUCAACCAGAACCCGCGGACGCUGCUGCCCAAGUUCUAUGGGCUGUACUGCGUGCAGUCGGGGGGCAAGAACAUCCGCGUCGUGGUCAUGAACAACAUCCUGCCCCGCGUGGUCAAGAUGCACCUCAAGUUCGACCUCAAGGGCUCCACCUACAAGCGGCGCGCCAGCAAGAAGGAGAAGGAGAAGAGCUUCCCCACCUACAAGGACCUGGACUUCAUGCAGGACAUGCCUGAGGGGCUCCUGCUGGACGCCGACACCUUCAGCGCCCUGGUCAAGACGCUGCAGCGGGACUGCCUGGUCCUGGAAAGUUUCAAGAUCAUGGACUACAGCCUGCUGCUGGGCGUGCACAACAUCGACCAGCACGAGCGCGAGCGGCAGGCGCAGGGCGCCCAGAGCACCUCAGAUGAGAAGCGGCCUGUGGGCCAGAAGGCGCUCUACUCCACGGCCAUGGAGUCCAUCCAGGGUGGUGCCGCACGUGGGGAGGCCAUCGAAUCGGAUGACACGGUCUUCGCUGGCCUGGCGGGGGAGCAGGUGAGCGUACCAGCCUGUGGCGUGAGCAGAGCGUGCAGGGCGCCGGCCCAGCGGGUCUGGAUCCUGGUGGCUUCAGGAUGGCUGCUGCACGUGUGGCCUCACUAA
rnacentral:sRNA from 1 species